rnacentral:rRNA from 1 species
UACGUAGGGGGCAAGCGUUGUCCGGAAUCAUUGGGCGUAAAGCGCGUGUAGGCGGCUCGGUAAGUCCGCUCUGAAAGCCCGGGGCUCAACCCCGGGAGGCGGGUGGAUACUGCUGAGCUCGAGUCCGGAAGAGGAGUGUGGAAUUCCUGGUGUAGCGGUGAAAUGCGCAGAUAUCGAGAGGAACACCUGCGGCGAAGGCGGGUUGCUGGGCUGACACUGACGCUGAGGCGCGAAAGCCAGGGGAGCGAACGGG